GACUUUUAUAUAUUCAUUGGGGUAAACUUAUCAUUAGAGACUUCCAGAUAAGAACUCGAGCCACGUGUCAAGCCAAACCUAGUUGAGAAAUUGAGAACCAGCCAUUCGGUCAAUUAAGGACAUGAGCAACUUGAAACCCACCUCCCUGUAGCCAACUUGCCACUUUCCAAUUUCGAUGCAUCUUUCAUCUUCUGCUACAAUGAAGCUAAGGAAAGGCUCAAAGGCCUGUGGUCACCUGAGGAGGAUGAGAAGCUUCUCAGGCAUAUUACUAAAUAUGGUUACGGGUGUUGGAGCUCUGUACCUAAGCAAGCUGGUCUGCAAAGGUGUGGGAAAACUGGGAAGAGCGGCAGAUUGAGGUGGAUCAACUACUUGAGGCCUGAUUUGAAGAGAGAACCGUAUCAACCAGCCAUCUUCUUCUUAUUCUUCUUCUUUCUUUUAAUUUAAUCUAGAUGUAUAUGGGUUAAGAUUCCGCUUCACAUUAUCUAAAUGUCUAACCUCCCUCUAACCGAUUACCGACCGUUACCGUCACCGGUUAACCGGCGACGGUAACGAUCGAAAUAUGAGAUAUCGGAAAGAAGUCGGUGAAAUUACCAACUUCACCGACAAAGUUGAGACGGUAGGCGGCAAACCCCCUAUCGUCCUCGAUUCCCCUGAUACCCACCCCUAAGUAUGACAUCGAUUAUUAUAAGUUUCUUAUAAACUGAUCUGAUAAUUAAUAUGAAA